UUUUUUUUUAUAAAUGAUAUGAUUCCAGAAAAUUAAGAAACAAUUCUGGGGCCGAGGACUUGAUGGAAGCGCAAGGACACCAGCAAUGCACGAGGCUGAUUCUAGUCCACUGACUUGGGAGGAGAUCUUAUCUUUCCGCUUCCGCCCCAAAGAAACGGCAAAGGCAGGAGUGGGACCUUCUUGUUUAUUUGAGGUGAAAAUCAACCGCUCAGAUUCCAGUUUUCAGGAAAAGAACAAGAAAUUCUGAACCCUUUAAUUCUACGUCGCGACACCGGCCCCGUGAAUGCUUGAAACUUCAAUUAGUCCUUGCUCCUUCAACAGAUAGUACAUAACAGAGAGCAAGCAAAUGAGGAAUGUCUCAUUGCUGCUUGUACCUGUCCUGUCCAGCGUAAGCAAAUCAGGAAUUUCUCGUUGCUGCCUACGCUUUCUGGUCGAAAUCAUUUAUUUAACGACAUUGCGGGUUUUUUCCAUCAUAGUUUUCUUGCUCUGUCUCCCAGAAUGGACCCAGUACUGGUUUUGUAGUGGAUGGUGGAUGGCUUGUAUAUUGUCUUUUUCUAGGGCGAAAGAGUGCGAGACUGAUAUUAGAUCCAGGGUAUGGGAGAGGAUCAGAGGAAGAAGAAGGCACAGGAGCUUUCAUGUCUCAAAUCUCUAUUCUCUGACCCUACGAGCACUUCAGUAUUCUGAAGAAAUCCCACUUGACUCACUGGUCCGGCACCAGUAGGCAGCCCUCAUUAGUUAUACCAACUUACACGGGUGUGAUGUCAAUUAUGGAUCUCAGCUUUAGUGCUUAUUACGUAUGUGGGUUGCACUUAUGAAAGCAUCCGACAUGCGCUGGUGCAAUCAAUCCUAGAUUCCAACAACACCAACUCAUAUGAUAUGAUGGGACCAGAUCAAGAUGUCUCCCCCAAUCAUUCAAGAUUCCCCUUGGAUUGGAUCACUACUGAAACUAUACCAAACCAAUAUAUCGAGAAUUUUCAGAGCGCACCACCAAUUCAACCAAUUUAAUUAUGCACACACAAAAUCUUCACCCAAGUGCAUACAUACAGUCCCCUUGCCCUUGUCGAUGAUGGUAAGACUGGAGGACUGUUGGUGCAUUCACGAGUCACCCCACGAUGAUUGAGGAUCAAAUGAGAUGUUAUGUCGGUGACUGAAUUUGAUUAAAACGACUGCCAUUUUCGGCAUCGAGACAGACAGUUUGCUGUCUUAUUCAUGGACCAUCUUGACUGGCUCUCGCUAGGGUCGAUCCAUCUACCAAUGAGGAAUGAGGAUCCUUCUUGGAGCGGGAUUUCACUACUAGCUUCUUUCCCAAACACCCUAAACUGAACUGAAGAAGGCAGGGCAACACAACACAUUAUGACGCCCAAAUUAACAAAUACUACACAUGAGGGAGGCAGGAAGAAAUACAAGCAGUGGAAAUAAAUACUCGUACAAUUAACAGCAAGCGCAACGCUCAGUUUCAUACAAACUUGUGUACUGACUAUUUUAUGAGUUAGGAAAGCUCGUGCAAACUCGUAGACCAUCUCAAACCAGAAUCAGAAUCACGUGGUGUAUUAGUAUUUACAACACGAAUGCUUCUUCGUCUCUCUCUCUUUUUUCUCCUCCCCCCACACCCCCCCCCCGCCCCACCAAAAACAACACAAUAAAACCCAUCUGCAGUUAUCUCUUGUUAUAUUUUUGUACCCAAUUUUCUACAGGAGCCUGUCCUUUUUUCCGUGUCUGUUGGUGAUAAUAUUGCUUAUGGCCUCCCAGAUGAUUAUGUAUCAAAGGAUGAUGUGAUAAAGGCAGCCAAAGCUGCAAAUGCUCAUGAUUUUAUAAUUUCAUUGCCACAGGUUGUCAUUUCGAAUAUGCUUGUUAUCUGUAUAAUUUUGCACAGUUUGUUUAGGUAUUAAAUAUUGAUGCAAUGGACAGGGUUACGACACUCUAGUUGGUGAGCGAGGGGGUCUGCUAAGUGGAGGGCAGAGGCAGGUAAUUAAAAGAUGGUUUGGUGUAUGCUUAUGGUUUGAGAGUUGUUUUACUGAAUACCCCUCACCAAAUUUGCAGAGAAUUGCCAUUGCAAGGGCUCUCCUUAAGAAUGCCCCAGUCCUUAUCCUUGAUGAGGUAUGCUUCUAGGCCAAUCCUAAUGCAUUGUGUGUUGUGUUUUACUUAAGGUAUAGAAAACAGAUACUCAUCCCCCAAGGCCAGUUAACAAACUAAUAUUGGGACAUCUAAGGGUCUGUAUGCCCGAAAGAGAAAGUUGAUCCACCAUAACUUGGGAUCUCAGGGGCUUAAUAUGCAGGAAGACUCAAUUUUUGUAUAUUUGAGAAACCAUAUGCUAGGAUUCCCAGGGCCUCGCAGUCAAAAGAACCUUAUCCAUUGGUUUGCUAUUGCUCAGAAUGGUAAAGGGCUCUUUCAUUUUGAUUGGGAAGUAACUUGGCCUGGAUUGUUAGAUACAUUGCAUUAUCAGCUGCAUUUCAGAUUUAAAGAUAGACAGUUUUACUCUGAACUAUUAACUCUACCUUGUGCUGAAUAAAUCAGUUUAUGCUUAUGCACUGCAGGCUACUAGUGCUUUAGACACAGUUAGUGAGCGCCUCGUCCAGAGUGCUCUGAACCGUCUGAUGAAGGGAAGAACAACGCUGGUUAUUGCUCACAGGUUGAGCACAGUUCAGAAUGCAAACCAAAUUGCCCUCUGUUCUAAUGGGAAGAUUGCGGAGUUAGGGACGCAUUCGGAGCUGUUAAGUAGGAGAGGCCAAUAUGCUUCUCUUGUUGGCACCCAGAGACUUGCAUUUGAAUGAUAGUGAAAUAGCAAUAAUCAAACCCUUGCCAUCUCAAACUGCAGAGCCCGUGAUUAUGUGAGUCUUUGGAAGAACCUUCAAAAAUAUAUUCUUUUUCCUCUAGGCUUUAACAAGCACACUCUUCUGGGGGUUUGGUUUUUUGGUUUUGGGGGGGGGGGUGUGAUUUAAAGGACGAGAAUGUAAGUGAGAAGUUUCGGGUUCAAGCCUUUCCACUUGCAUUACUUUAAAAAAAAAAAAAAAAAAAAGCACUCUCUUCUAAAAGACUUAAUUGCUUUGGUUAAUGGGAAUUUGUUCUGCUAUCUUUAACCAUUGGUUGCAUCUUAUCAAGCAGAGGAUGAGUUAAAGAUUAGAAUAGCUAUGUGAAAUAAAAUUCACAAGCACAGUCAAUAUAGAAUUCAUUCCAUGCUCGAUGCAGUAAUGAUAUAUGGAUUUUUUUUCCCCGGCAACUUGUCAGUUCUGUGCACAAUUACGUCUAAUUACUGCUUUCGAUAUUGGACAGCUAAUAUUCACAAUCUUGCUUUAUUUAUAAUAGCUGUUUGGAGAUUUGGAUGACAAGAGGAUUUUGAUGCCUACAUAAACGGUAUAGCUAAUGCCCAUGAAUUUCGUUGGUGGGCAAUUGAAAUAUGAAUAUUUUAUCACUUCAGAUCAAGUCUGAAUACUUUGCUCGACACAGCUGCGACCAUUCUAAAAUUGGGCCAAAACAAAAACAAAAACCUUUCUGCAAGUCAUCCUGCAUUGUUUCUCCGGCAAAGCUACAAUAAUGUUUUGAUCUUAGGCGAAUAGGUGGAGAGCCUUAUUUGUGUUGAUUAUUGUUUAUUUAGUGGAAACUGAGAUGAUAGCGUUCAACUCGGCAAAGCAUUCAGUCGGGGCCAAGGAAUGAAUUCAUAAAGAAGUCGUCAAUCGGUUGAACCAUGGCCACUCCAACUAGCCGGCAUCUUCCUCCUCCGUUUAAGCGCUCACCUCUUCCACUUCUGAUUGUUCCUUCUGAUCUUCAGAUGUUAACAGGUCCCUACCAGCAAAGGUGGAGCUUUAUAAAGCUUCCCAACUGAAAACCAGAAGCUAGCUUUGAACUCAAGCUCCGCCUUCACAAGAACAGCACCAAGUAAUUCUCAGAAACUACCGAAUUAUAAUACAAAAAAGGAAAGCAAUAGAAGCCGAGGGUCAUAGAAGACUACCUUGCCCGUUUCUUGAUUGAUGCUUCCCCGUAAUAUCUCUGGAGCAAUAUCAAUCCUGAGAAAAGGUGGCAAUGGCAGUCCCAUGAAUCUAGUUGUUGCAGUUGUGAGUGGUGGAAUAUAGAGGGUAUUCAAGUCGAAGUCAACAAAAAUGUCUCCAUCGGAUUCAUUGGAGUCGGUAUUUCUAUUUGUGCCCAUCCCACUACCGCUGCCCUCCUCGCGUUGUACUCGAAGUCGGGAUAUACGGAGAUACCGAGUUUGCAAGAUGCCAGCGUCUCGAAUUUGAUGUUAUACACGUCCCUUCUUGGUAAUUUUGAUUCAGUCAGCUGGGGGGCAGGAAUUGGUUGUUGUCUAUCCAGGUUCUUUUGGGAGGCGACCACAGUUGUCUUGCGUAUUCUAGAUUUUGGUAGAACUAAGGAUGAACUUGAAUAAUUAGGCUUAUGUCGUGGGGAAGUUCUGCAUGUAAGUUGAGGACCUGAGGAGUGAAUUUGACACUCCAUUUGUUUGAACCCUGGUAGAUUGUUGAGCUCUAUAGAGCGGAUGGUGAUGGAGAUGAAGAAAUUACUCUACAGAGCGGAAAGGGAGUUCAUGUGUAAAGCUUAUUUUCGUCUUCUUCCUUCUUUUUUUAUUUUAAAAUGAUAUGAUUCCAGAAAAUUAAGAAACAAUUCUGGGGCCGAGGACUUGAUGGAAGCGCAAGGACACCAGCAAUGCACGAGGCUGAUUCUAGUCCACUGACUUGGGAGGAGAUCUUAUCUUUCCGCUUCCGCCCCAAAGAAACGGCAAAGGCAGGAGUGGGACCUUCUUGUUUAUUUGAGGUGAAAAUCAACCGCUCAGAUUCCAGUUUUCAGGAAAAGAACAAGAAAUUCUGAACCCUUCAAUUCUACGUCGCGACACCGGCCCGACCCCAAUGCUUGAAACUUCAAUUAGUCCUUGCUCCUUCAACAGAGAGCAAGCAACUGGGAAUCUCAUUGCUUCUUGUACCUGUCCUGUCCAGCGUAAGCAAAUCAGGAAUUUCUCGUUGCUGCCUACGCUUUCUGGUCGAAAUCAUUUAUUUAAC
rnacentral:lncRNA from 1 species